GCGAGCUGGAAUCGAGCGCGUUACGUCAAGUUCUCACAAUCUGGAAACUAAAUCUGGAAACUAAGUGAAACAAGGUACAGUAGUAACGAAAGAAUUCACGAUCAGUCCAGUGGAGAAUAUCGUCAAAAGCAAGACACUUUUUAUAUUCUUAAUUACACGAAACGUUAAUUGCUGCAGGAGAUACAGAAGGCCAGCAGUUUGGAUAGUGUUGUCUAGUGGGAAAUCAUUUGAAACUUCCUAUAACAGAGAGCAGGAGAAAUGAAUGUGAUGACCUAGAAGUACAUAACUGAAGGAAACCUACCAGGAAGACAGGUCUCACCUUCACAAAGUUCCAUGAACCAGGAUGUCAGCAGAUCCUGGAGGCUGUUUUGCAGUUAAAAGGCCACUUGUGUCAAUAUUGCAUCUAAUUGCUCUCCCUGAGUUUUCCCGUCCACUAUUUGUACCACAGCCAUCUACUUGCAAUCCCACUUUGGGCAAACAGCUGAGGUUCAUGCUGUUGGAAUGACGUCAAAGCCUGCAAUCGCCUCACUAUAUAUCAUUUCAACACCAGCAGUGGUAAGGUUUCC